CAGUCGAGCGGAACGACUUAACUGAACCUUCGGGGAACGUUAAGGGCGUCGAGCGGCGUUACGGGUGAGUAAUGCCUGGGAAAUUGCCCUGAUGUGGGGGAUAACCAUUGGAAACGAUGGCUAAUACCGCAUAAUAGCUUCGGCUCAAAGAGGGGGACCUUCGGGCCUCUCGCGUCAGGAUAUGCCCAGGUGGGAUUAGCUAGUUGGUGAGGUAAGGGCUCACCAAGGCGACGAUCCCUAGCUGGUCUGAGAGGAUGAUCAGCCACACUGGAACUGAGACACGGUCCAGACUCCUACGGGAGGCAGCAGUGGGGAAUAUUGCACAAUGGGCGCAAGCCUGAUGCAGCCAUGCCGCGUGUAUGAAGAAGGCCUUCGGGUUGUAAAGUACUUUCAGCAGUGAGGAAGGUGGAUGCGUUAAUAGCGUAUUCAUUUGACGUUAGCUGCAGAAGAAGCACCGGCUAACUCCGUGCCAGCAGCCGCGGUAAUACGGAGGGUGCGAGCGUUAAUCGGAAUUACUGGGCGUAAAGCGCAUGCA
rnacentral:rRNA from 1 species